CCUACGGGAGGCAGCAGUAGGGAAUCUUUCACAAUGGGCGAAAGCCUGAUGGAGCAACGCCGCGUGCAGGAUGAAGGCCUUCGGGUUGUAAACUGCUUUUAUAAGCGAGAAAUAUGAUGGUAACUUAUGAAUAAGGAUCGGCUAACUACGUGCCAGCAGCCGCUGUCAUACGUAGGAUCCGAGCAUUAUCCGGAGUGACUGGGUGUAAAGAGUUGCGUAGGUGGCAUAAUAAGUAGCUAGUGAAAUCUGGUGGCUCAACCAUUCAGACUAUUAGCUAAACUGUUAAGCUCGAGACCGUUAGGGGUAACUGGAAUUUCUAGUGUAGGAGUGAAAUCCGUAGAUAUUAGAAGGAACACCAAUAGCGUAGGCAGGUUGCUGGGACGGUUCUGACACUAAGGCACGAAAGCGUAGGGAGCAAACGGGAUUAGAUACCCGUGUAGUC
rnacentral:rRNA from 1 species